GUUUUGAAAUAAGAUGAGUAGGUAAAAGGCAAUAAAGCCCUUGAAGGCUAAAAAUGAGUAUAAAUGAAUAAGGGGUAUUGUAGUAAUUGAAUAAAGAGUUGAUAAAUAUAAAUAGAAAAGAAAAUAGAAGAAGAGAGCUGUGUUUUAAGAGUGAAAACUGACGGGAGAAGAGAAGAAAAGGGGAAGAAGAAGAAGAGAAAAGAGGGAAAGAUAAGGAAAGGAGAAGAGAAUUGGAGGAAAUAAGUUUAAAGGUUCUCCUAACGAUCCUCAAUAGAUUUUUCGGGUCUUUCAUCUGACAUUCCUUUUAGUUCUAUAUUUUCCGGGUUCUUAGUUUUUGAUAGCAGGUGAACUUUGUUGAGCGUUCCUGCUUCUUCAGUGUUGGGUCAGUAUGCCUUGCUUAUCUUUCAAGGCUGUUUGAUUCGAUGUCUUAGGCGCUCCACUAUUACUUUGUUUUAAUUAAGUUUGGAUUUUUGACAAUGUAAUAAGUAUUAUGGAUUAUUGUUUUGUUUUAAUUACUGAUGAGGAGUUUUAAAAUAUCUUUUGGUUUCAUCAGUUAAUAUUUCUGAAGAUUAUGAAA